UCCGGGGUCGUCUAACGGUAGGACAGCGGCCUUUGGAGCCGUAUGUCGAGGUUCGAGUCCUCGCCCCGGAG
rnacentral:tRNA from 1 species